GUUAUACAUUGCUUUAUAUUCACUCUCUCUUCAAUGGCCAGUGUGCAUGCAGGUUCCACGGACAUUUAAAACUGGCAACAACAAUUUUCUGACUUAGGAAGAGUGGUGAUCUAUAACAAAGCUUCAUUGAACACUAGCUGCGGGACAUAAUAAUCAGAUUCAGUGUUGUUUCCGGUGGCUCGGCUACUCAUUCUCAGUUGAAGCUCUUUCUCUGUAGCAAGUCUCCUUCCUUUGGCAUUGGGUGGAACUGAGCUUAAAUUCAGCUAUACUCGGGCACAUCUCCUUUGGCAAUACAUAUUUGAUUUCUGAAAUAAAGAAAAAUUUGCUUCAAGCCUUUAGCAAUAUAUGUCCAUGUAAUAUCGGUUCAGGGCAAAUCUUCUUUGGCAAAUUUGAAGUUCCUCCAGUUGGCCAUGCUAGCUGAGGAUGGUUCGACAAUUUUAAGGCCUUGACUUAUAAGAACAGUCAGGAAUACAGACUUUGAGGGCUUAGCUCCAGUUGGUGAUAUUUGACUUGGAAUUUCUACCAGGACCCUUUUUUUGGUCCAUUUUUGGGCAAAUCUCCUUUGGCAUUUUGGAGUCUUGAAUAAGACUCCGUUUAUCCCUUUAGUGGGCAAAUCUCCUUUGGCAUUUAAACUCCAUUUGUGGAGAUAAUAAGACUAUGAAAAUAUUUGGAACAUAAACAGAGAGACUUCACUGUUUGCCCUCGGAUUUUUAUUUUUUUUCCUCUUUUUGGCAAGGCUACUGAUUCCAGUUGCAACUAGAGUUGCAACUUUCUAGUUAUUGUGCAGUCUGGCAGAGGCCUACAUUCCAAAUUACUCAGUCUCGACUAAAGCAUAACCCAAGCGGUACGCCUCUCUACUAUUGUCAUUACUAUUUUAUUAUGCUUCUUUUUGUGUUUAGUUAACUUCAUCAGGAAAACAAUCAUACUUGGUCCAUGCUUCUUUAUGUGAAGCAAUUUGGCUUGAUGAUUGGUGUUGAUUUGGGUCAUUUCAAUUGAACUCUAAUUCUCAUAUUAGUAAAUGAAAUAGCCAACAGUAAUGACACAAUUACCUUAUUCAUGUUCUAGUAAAUGUUAUCUAUUCUCUAGCUUCAACCUAUAAAUGACUUUUAUUUCACUUGCUAAAUUAUAGGGAGAUACUUAGGUCUCUUAGAGACAAACAUUGUAGAGGAAACAUAUUCUUUAGCAAGGCACAAGUGUGAACACUAUUUUGAUGGCAUACUAUUUCUAUUUUAACAAUCUUCGUCUCCCAUACUUCAUCUACAAUUAUUAUAAUUCAUGUUCUAGUAUAUGUUGUCUACACUCAAGCUUCAAUCUACAGAUGAUUGUCAUUUCACUGCUAACUUCUAGGGUGAUAAUUAGGUAUUUUAGAGAGGAAUGUCACAGAGGAUAUACAUUUUUGUGUAAGGCAAGAGUGAGAACAUUAUUUAGAUGCCAUCCUUCUUCUAUUUCAACAAUCUUAGUCUCCUGUACUUCAUUUUUUGGUAAUAAAAUCGUUUGUUUUGAAUUUGCAGAAGUAAAAGUAUAACUAAACAAGUACUAUCUAGUAUCAGCAUUAUGGAUUUGCUAGACAGUGAUUUCGACAGUCUCAGCGAG
rnacentral:lncRNA from 1 species